rnacentral:lncRNA from 1 species
UUCGGCUGAGGGGAAGGAGGCACGCGACUGAGUGACAAUGGGUGUGAACCGACCUUUCUCUGUCAGCCUGCAGUGGGUCUGCCACCCUCUCAGGGAGAGCUCAAUGGCUGGAACGCACUGCAAGACAGAAGAAGAAUUGGAGUGGGGGCUGAUUUUGUCAUCACCAGUGAGUCCUCAGGGCUGUGGGUCUGUCGAGGCCCGGCAGCUGGCCGGUGAAGAAGAUGCAAAGAGGUCUAUGUGUAAAGCAUAACCAGCCUUCCACACAUCUGGAAUGCUUCCACGAUCUGUCUGCACGCAGCUGCUGGAGGAGGACCAACGUACCCUGGCUCUGCAGUCUCAUGGCAUCACGGACCUGUACCUGAGGGCUCCUAGGGGCAAAUCUGAGGAACACAAGCUUCUGAUUUUACCAGGACACAAUUUCCUGUCAUUAGAUUGAACGAGGUCAUGACCAUCCCUAUACUAAAGGACCGCCAGGCUACUGCUCCUGGAAGAUUUUUUGCUCCUGUC